UGCAGCCCGUGCCCUUCCCCCACGACGCCCUGGCAGGCCCCGGCAUCCCGAGGCACGCCCGGCAGAUCAACACACUCAGCCACGGGGAGGUGGUGUGUGCCGUGACCAUCAGCAACCCCACGAGGCACGUCUACACAGGUGGCAAGGGCUGCGUGAAGAUCUGGGACAUCAGCCAGCCAGGCAGCAAGAGCCCCAUCUCCCAGCUGGACUGCCUGAACAGGGACAAUUACAUCCGCUCCUGCAAGCUGCUCCCUGAUGGGCGCACGCUCAUCGUGGGCGGCGAGGCCAGCACGCUCACCAUCUGGGACCUGGCCUCGCCCACGCCCCGCAUCAAGGCCGAGCUGACGUCCUCGGCUCCCGCCUGUUAUGCCCUGGCCAUUAGCCCUGACGCCAAAGUCUGCUUCUCCUGCUGCAGCGAUGGGAACAUUGCUGUCUGGGACCUGCACAACCAGACCCUGGUCAGGCAGUUCCAGGGCCACACGGAUGGGGCCAGCUGCAUAGACAUCUCCCAUGAUGGCACCAAACUGUGGACAGGGGGCCUGGACAACACGGUGCGCUCCUGGGACCUGCGGGAGGGCCGACAGCUACAGCAGCAUGACUUCACUUCCCAGGUGUGCGGCCCAAGACUCCUCCCUUCCCAAAGAGCAGUGUGUUCCCUCCCUCU
rnacentral:sRNA from 1 species